rnacentral:tRNA from 1 species
GGGCCGGUAGCUCAGUGGUAGAGCAGGGGUCUUUUAAACCCUUGGUCGCGGGUUCGAACCCCGCCCGGCUCACCA